UACAGAGGGGGCAAGCGUUGUUCGGAAUUACUGGGCGUAAAGGGCGCGUAGGCGGCCCGCUAAGUCGAACGUGAAAUCCCCGAGCUCAACUCGGGAACUGCGUCCGAUACUGGUGGGCUUGAAUCCGGGAGAGGGAUGUGGAAUUCCAGGUGUAGCGGUGAAAUGCGUAGAUAUCUGGAGGAACACCGGUGGCGAAGGCGACAUCCUGGACCGGUAUUGACGCUGAGGCGCGAAAGCCAGGGGAGCAAACGGG
rnacentral:rRNA from 1 species